GGUUGGUUAGCUCAGUUGGUUAGAGCGUGGGGCUGCUAACACCAAGGUCCAGGUUCAAUCCUUGUACCAGCCA